UCGUAACAACGUCUCCGUUGGUGAACCAGCGGAGGGAUCAUUA
rnacentral:rRNA from 1 species